GACGAACGCUGGCGGCGUGCUUAACACAUGCAAGUCGAGCGGUAAGGCCCUUUCGGGGGUACACGAGCGGCGAACGGGUGAGUAACACGUGGGUGACCUGCCCUCAGCUCUGGGAUAAGCCUGGGAAACCGGGUCUAAUACUGGAUAUGACUCCAUGACGCAUGUUGUGGGGUGGAAAGCCUUGUGCGGCUGAGGAUGGGCCCGCGGCCUAUCAGCUUGUUGGUGGGGUGANGGCCUACCAAGGCGACGACGGGUAGCCGGCCUGAGAGGGCGACCGGCCACACUGGGACUGAGACACGGCCCAGACUCCGUACGGGAGGCAGCAGGUGGGGAAUCUUGCGCAAGUGGGCGAAAGCCUGACGCAGCGACGCCGCGUGAGGGAUGACGGCCU
rnacentral:rRNA from 1 species